ACAUCCAGAGAACUUAGCAGAGAUGCUUUGGUGCCUUCGGGAACUCUGAGACAGGUGCUGCAUGGCUGUCGUCAGCUCGUGUUGUGAAAUGUUGGGUUAAGUCCCGNAACGAGCGCAACCCUUAUCCUUUGUUGCCAGCGGCUCGGCCGGGAACUCAAAGGAGACUGCCGGUGAUAAACCGGAGGAAGGUGGGGAUGACGUCAAGUCAUCGUGGCCCUUACGGCCAGGGCUACACACGUGCUACAAUGGCGCAUACAAAGAGAAGCGACCUCGCGAGAGCAAGCGGACCUCACAAAGUGCGUCGUAGUCCGGAUUGGAGUCUGCAACUCGACUCCAUGAAGUCGGAAUCGCUAGUAAUCGUAGAUCAGAAUGCUACGGUGAAUACGUUCCCGGGCCUUGUACACACCGCCCGUCACACCAUGGGAGUGGGUUGCAAAAGAAGUAGGUAGCUUAACCUUCGGGAGGGCGCUUACCACUUUGUGAUUCAUGACUGGGGUGAAGUCGUAACAAGGUAAGCGUAGCGAG
rnacentral:rRNA from 1 species